ACAAUUUGAAAUACACAGAAAUAACAAAUAUAUCAGAGUUGUUUUAUAUAACAAAUUGAAGUGCACUAUAAAAUAAUUUUAAAAAUCUAAGUCUGCUAGAUAUACUGACAAUGCCCCAUCAGAGUAGUUUACUUUUUUUCUAAAAUAAAUGACCUGAGAAAUUAAGACACAUAUACAACAUUGCUCUUUCAAACAUGACUAAUGUUUUUAUUUUAUUGGCAAUAAGAUUACCUGUAAUUGUUCUUAUAAUCAUCACAAUAUAAAAUUUUCGGAAUUUUAGAGGUGAUACUUGAGAAAACCUUAGGAUCAUCUUAUUGCAUCUCACUGUUUGCAGGAAUUUUCUUUAUGGCAAUGGUUUUUAGGCAUCUUUUUUGAAUACCAAAUUAUCUUUUCUUAAAAUAAAAUAUUACAAAUAUAUUAGAGCUGAAUUUUCUGUGCUUUAAGAGAAUGAUGAAAGACAGAUUGAUUCUCUACCUUCCACCUCCCGACCCCACAACUUGAGGUAACUUUUGGCAGAGAAGCUGAAAAUCAAAGAAAGGUAAUUUUUUACAAAGUUGAUUGACAAGGCCAGACUUCUAUUAACUGAAACAAUCUCCAAAUACCUAAUUUUAAAUUGCUCUGGGUGGAAUUCAGUUUCUUGUGCUUUUAUAAAGGAGGCCCCCAUUUUCUUGCUUGCUUUUGUCUGGGGAUUGUUCCCAGUUCUUAAAUGUAGUCCUCCGUAGUUCACAACAUAACAAUUUGCUUUCUUCUUGCAAUCCAGCAGAAAUGUGUCUAAUGCUUCACCUUCUUUAAAAGACUCACUUGUCUAAUUAGAUCAGGCUCACCCACGAUGAUCUCCCUUUGAUUAACUCCAACAGGUUAGAGUCUAAAUUGGAAGUAGUAUCUCCUCAUAAUUACAGGUUCCACCACCACUGGAGCAGGAAUUGUAUGUGGGUAUGCAUCACUGGGGAUAAUUCUAAUAUUCUACCUACCACAUUUUCCUUAAAAAAUAAAAUGUUCCUUGUAGUCUAAUGUCUUGGCUUUGAGACAAGUGUUACGUGUGGUUUUUGGGAGAUGACAGAAUUUUGGCUUAUUUUAGUGUUUGUGGUAGGAGUUUUUUUCCUUGAUGGUAAAAAUUGGUAUCAAUAACUUAUGUUUGUUACCUAGGACCAGAUUCUUAACCUGCACAAUAUAAUCCAUACUUUUCAAAUGUUAUUUUUAUUGCUAGGCAGCAAGAUGAAAUGACAAGUCUUUUUUUUCUUCCCAGAAUGAUUAUAAACACAAAUAAUAUGCAUCUGGGAUCAAAGAUGUAUUGCUAUCAUUAUAGAGCCCUAAUGCUAGCUUUCUCCGUAAUGAAAUAGUUUAAUAAAACAUGUACUAUUAUGAAGAGUAGAAUGAGACCCUUCCCUUUCCCAAAAGAACAUAUGUGGUUUUAUUUAGAAAGUGGUUUACAGGAGAGUUUUGAAAAUUCUCUAUGUAAUUGGUAUAGGAGUAUAAUAAAAAAAAUAGAAAGUACUGUAAACUUAUUGACCUGAGAAUGAGAGUCGAAAUUAUCAUAUAGUUAUUACUUUUAUUCUGAGAUUACUUUUCCCUUUUACCCCUCCUCUCAUGAAUUUUCUCCUGCCCUUCUUUCAGUUUUCUUACUUUUUAAAAUAAAAGAUGGAAUAUCAAUAUGUUGCCCAAGCUAGCUUCAAACUUCUGGGCUCAA